CCCAGAAAACAAUUUGUUUAUUAUAAGCAGGUCAGUCCUCGGGGGGAUGCAUGGAAUCACGCAGUGGGAGAGGACAAUCAUGGCACUGAAAUGAAAUGCAGACUUCUUGGUGUUGGAAGGCCUAUCUGGAGAUUGUUUCAUUGAGGCCCCCUGUUCAAGCAUGGUCAGCUAGAGAAGGUUUCCCAGGACUCUAUCCAGCCAGGUUUUUAAUUUCUCCGAGGAUGAACACUCCACAGCCUCUCUGAGCAACCUGUUCCAGUGCCAGAGUUGGAUUCAAAUUAUAUCUUUACAGCUGCCUGAAAUAAAGGACAUAGCAACCUGGCCUGGUUUCAUGCAUUACAGAUGAAUGAGAUGUGGGGAGAACAAAAGAAGGAGGACCAUGAAUGAACACUUAUGCUUUUGUACCCAAAAUGAUGAACACAUCAGAAGAAGAAAAAAAAUGUUGCUUUGAAUGGCCUUCUUGAAGUAUUGGAAAGGAAAGUGAAGAGGAACAAGGUGACCAAACUGCCAAACAUGUAAAACCAGCACCAUUAUGCACUCGCUAAUUAUUAUUUUUGUUUGAAUCUCUAGUGCAGUUUGGCUGAGGCACCCUUAUGCUGCAAUUCUUGCUGUCCCUGGAAAAUACAGUCCCACCCUCUACAACCUUCAAGGUUCCUGAGGACUUUGUAUGUGUUUAAAAUGAAUGAAAACUUUUGGGAAAAAGCAACAGAGAACGCAAGCAUCGUUUUUGUUUCUUUUCUACUGCUUUGGCUGUUCCCACAAGUUUUAUGCAUCCUGUCAGCCUCCCAUGAGAAACUGAAUGGUAUUUCCAGCUCCACUCAGCACUGGUGCAGCCCAUCUGCAGCACUAGGUCCAGUUCUGGGUUCACCAGUACAAGGCUGACAGGAGAAUACCAGAGUCCAGUGAAGGAUGACAGAGGGAAUUAAGAGAUUGGAGCACCUCUCUCAUUGGAGUCACUGAGACAGCUUGAAAAGAAAAAGCUCAAGUAAGAUCUUAUUAACGUGUAUAAAUUCCUCAUGUGAGGGAGUGAAGAAUACAGCCAGACUCUUAAUGCUGCCCAGUGACAGGACAAGAGGCAGUGCACACCAUCUGUAGUACAGAAAAUUCCAUUUAGAUGAAAGAAAAACCCCUUUGGUACUGUAAGUGUGACUGAACACUGGCACAGGUUGCCUGGAGAGGUCAUGGAGUCCCCAUUCUUGGAGAUAUCAAAACCCCAUCUGAACACAGUCCUGGGUAAUCUGCUCUCCUGACCCUGCUUUGAACAGGGAGGGUGGGACUAGUCAAUAUGCAAAGGUGGUUUCCCACCUCAGUCAUCCCAUGAUCCGUGAUUCACUUGAAAAAUCUGUCUUUAUUUCUUGCAGUUAUCAUUUGCUACUACAAUAUAUUCAGGUUGGAGUGCGCUUCUCACCUUCUACUGCUCAUAUUUCUGUGAAUGAGGGUUAUAAUUCAUAUAAUCAAACUUUUAGAAAACCUACUUUAAAGAGACAAACCCCAACACUUGGGACAGCUAGUAAAACUCAUUAUUUCCAACAAUACUCAUAACUGAAAACAUCUUAUUCGAAAAUAAAAAUAAGUUUUCAAAUUAAAUAUUGAUUUAUUUUGUGACAGGAGAAAUCUGCUGUAGCAAAAGACAUCAGAAUUAAAUUACCAGGUUUCUCAUUGUUUUCUUUUUAAUUGAAAUUAUAGAAUCUUUACACUGUUUCAUUUUUAUAUGAUUUUAUGGGGCUUAGAGUAAUAGGCCCUGAGUUUGCUUAAUGACAACAGGAACUAUAAUAAUCCAAAUAUUAGAGAGAAAUACAGAAGAAAGAUUUCAUGGUGCCUUAAUCUGAGAGGCACUUCUUUUAACCCUUUGGUGAGUGUAUAACAUGCUUUUCCUAACUCUGCAUUACAUGGUAAGAUAAUUGAAGUGCUUUGAGCCUAAAAGUGUACUUUGUUCUUCAUUUCAUGCACAUCUCCCUUCAUUCUGCAGCCUCUGAAGUGAAAAGCAUGCCCAAACAGAAGCAAGGGAAGAAAGAUGUGGACACCAGUUCACAAUAAUGUGAAUUAUUGCCUUCAGCCUUAAGAAAUUAAUGUAUUUUAACUUCUAACUUCACAAGUGCUGAGGUGGUUUCAAUUUCUCUGAACAUUGAAAGAACAUUGAAAGCAGGUUGAUAGAACAUCGUAAAGGAAAGACCUGGAGCACAUAUUGCUCAAAAAGUAAAAAGAAAGUGACAAAUUUCAGAAAAGAGGAAGUCAAGAUAUUCUUAGUACAGGGACCAUGUUUUCUGAAGAAAGAUUUUAAAAAUUUUAAAGAUUAUUUUGAUAUAGAAUAAGAGAAGUGUAGUGAAAAAUGUUGCAAUGGCCAAAGAGAUGCAAUGGGCAGAUUGACCUUGGAGGGAGCUUCUCCAUUGUGUGUUGAGAAAGUCACAGGAGUCAUCAACCAGAAGCUCAGAACAGAAUUCAAUUUACAUUGAUAAAUAGCUUGUGCAGGUGCAGAAGGGCAUUUCUAAGGUAAUGAGGUAAAACUAUUAAUGGAAUAUGUUUUGGAGAAAGUCUUGACAGGGAAUAGAAAGCAGUCACACAGGAAAAGCAGAGAAAUUAACUGCUUGGGAAGCUUAUGCUGCAACUGGACAGAGAGCUGGGAUCUGUGAUAGAGUGUUCUGUUUCAAUUACAAAGAUGAGCCAAAAGAGCUUCUAGCCUUUCCCAUCUUUGUGUUUUAUGAGUACAGGUGUUACAGGCAUGCAAAGUAGCAUAUCUUAAUUGUCAUCUCCAAAUCAGACCAGUUCCACUUGUGUUUGGUUUAGCAUACUGUAUUUUGAUGAAGUUUUCAUCUGAUUUCCCUUGAGGACAGCAGUAGCAUUUCCACUCACUCAAGAAGUCAAGCUCUUAUACUGUUUAAUUUACUAUGGGCGUAGAGAAUUUAAAGUGUGAAUCAAAACAAUGGAAACAUCUUUGUGGCACAGCACAGGAGAGCAAACUUAGAACAGUACAAAUAGCUGUUGACUGCCAGAGCUUUACUCAUACUCCAGUCAACUUUGCUCUGGGAAGAAGGAGCUGCACAAAGAGCUGCUGGAGCCUACAAACUUCAAAGCCAAUGACAUGGAAGUGCAAAUCAAUAGAGAAACCACAUGAAACUUUUCAAGGGUAUUUGAUGCCUUCAUGUGUUCAUUUUGAAAUGUUACCUCACAAAUUCCCACUAACCCUAUCUUUCUUGAACUCACCAGCUAUUUCCUGAAAAAAACCCCUUGCAGCUCCUAGGGAAUAAUUGUUUUAAUGCUUGGAGAAUAUGAAAGCUUCACUUGAGCUUCAUUUUUCAGUAUCAUGCUGUCUGUGGAGAAAAGGUGCAAAACUUCCCCCUAUUGCCUGCAUUAUUCCAGUGCAGUCCUGCUCAAUCCUUCCUCCAGAACUGGGCUGGAGGACACAGAAGGCAUAUAUGAUCUACUGCAUUAUUUUGCUGAAACAUACAUUUUUUAAAGAAAUGUAUUGCGUUUUCACAUCAGUAACAUUCUUGGUAAAUUGUUGGAAUUUUAUUUUUGCUCUUGCUUGUUCUGGUUGGCACUCUAAUGUAGACACAGGGGUUUUCAGACUGGGUGCCAGCUGGUGCUUGUCUGUUCUCCAGCUUUGUACUUUGCUAAAAGUUGAAAAUGGUGUUGUUUCACACCAGUCAGUAAUGAUGAGAUGUGAUUUGUUGAAGCUGUAAUACUUUCAUGUAGCUCAGAUCUUGGAGUACUAAAUCCAGUCACCUGAAGGAAAAAGAUUUCUACUUCUUAUUACAGAAUAAUUUCUUUCCUGUGAUAUAUUAGCUGAUAUACACUUGUGAUGCAUUCGCUUGACAGUUCUGAGAUGUAAUACAUUUUAAUAAAAUAUCUUUAAUCAUCUGGAAAUUGCCAAAUAAAGUAUAUUAUGCUGUGACUUGACUCCCACUUUAAUAGAGCAUCAUGCAAAGUGUGUUGAACUCCUGUAAGGCUCCACUGACCUUAAUGAAUUUUGGAUCAGGCCUGUAUUCCCUGAUGUGAAAGUCUCAGGGAAAGUACUAUAAGGCCUCUCUAAUAGCACCCUUUCUUCUGUUAAAAUGCAAGAAAAAUGCAUUGCUCUUAAAUGUUUUUGAUAAAAUAUAUUUCACAAUGUUGUCAUAGUGUUGUAAGCAGGAGAAAAGCAAGUGUUUUAGAGCAUUGAUUAGAAAAAUGCACUCUAUGGUUUAAAAUAUUUUAAAAUGCAAUGUAUAUAUUCCUUUUUAACUUGUGGAGUAAGUCUUCACCUCUGAAAUUCACUUUAAUCUUCAGUUGGUCAUGUAGAGACUUUCACAUUUUUUUGUGUUCCGAAGCGUGUACACAGUUUAAUUAGAACAAACAACAGAAAUCUUACUUAAAAAUGUUUAUUGUAAAAAAGUGGCUAGAAAACAUCAAUUUCACUUCACACUUUCUUCAAGUUAUCUAUAGAUGCUGCUAUGGGCAACAAUUUGCUUUCAUUCAUAACACAUUCAAUCAUAUAAAAAUAAAAAUAUUUACAUUAUGUCGACAUAUUUUACAAAAUCAUCAAUAAAAAAGGCACUUGGAGGGGUAAUGCUGAAAAUAUUGCAUUUUCUUUGUGCAUUUAAAAAAAAUAAUUGUAAAACUCCCGUGGAUCCCCUCUCUUGCACUUAUUCCCGUUUUUUAAAACAAAAAUGAAGUUUAGAGAAACUAUUCCAUAUUAAAGUAUGGUCAAGCAUGCACCAGGAAUGUUUGAAGCUACAGUAUUACCUUUUUUUAUUUAUUUUUUUUUUAAGGCACAUGCAUUAAAUUUGUGGUUUUUAAUUUUUUCGUACAUUCUCUCUUAUACUUUUUUCCCUCUUUUAGUUAUGCAGUUAUAAAGCAUUUCAGGUCAUUAAUGAAGGCCUUGGCUCCUAAUAAAAUAAAAAAAAAAAACACAGCAAUGAAUAAUAUUAAACAUUUACUAAGGUAAACUUGGAAUACUUUUUAAGGCACCUGAGAUAAAUGGUGUCUAGCAAAAUUCACUUGGGUAGUAUUUUCGUUAAAAUUUCCACUUAAAAUACUGUUUCUUUGGUUGAAAUGGCUUGGCAGGAAUGUAUUGUUAACUUUGAAGCCUUUUCUAAGCAAGAAAAGACGACCUACAUUUGGCUUCAUCUAUAAAGAAAGCUGAUAAUGCUUCUUCCUUUAGAUCUACUUGAAAUGUCAUGCAUGGCGUCUUUCCCCCUAUUUCAGAAUUCACACUUAAGAAUGCAAAUGUAUGGCAGAACAGAAACUACUUAAAGCUCAUUUCUACUGACAUUCUAAGUUUUUCCACUUGCUUAUUUGUUUGCUUUUUUGGUGGUGUGUUGGUUUGUUGGUUUGGUUUCUUUGUUUUUUGGUUUCUU